rnacentral:siRNA from 1 species
CGCAAUGUUGCCUCGCAAAGCGA